rnacentral:rRNA from 1 species
AUUGAACGCUGGCGGCAUGCCUUACACAUGCAAGUCGAACGGCAGCACGGGCUUCGGUCUGGUGGCGAGUGGCGAACGGGUGAGUAAUGUAUCGGAACGUACCAUUGAGUGGGGGAUAACGUAGCGAAAGUUACGCUAAUACCGCAUAUUCUCUCCGGAGGAAAGCAGGGGACCGCAAGGCCUUGCGCUCUUUGAGCGGCCGAUAUCAGAUUAGCUAGUUGGUGGGGUAAAAGCUCACCAAGGCGACGAUCUGUAGCGGGUCUGAGAGGAUGAGCCGCCACACGGGAACUGAGACACGGUCCAGACUCCUACGGGAGGCAGCAGUGGGGAAUUUUGGACAAUGGGGGCAACCCUGAUCCAGCCAUGCCGCGUGAGUGAAGAAGGCCUUCGGGUUGUAAAGCUCUUUCGGCCGGGAAAAAAUCGCAUGGAUUAAUACUCUGUGUGGAUGAUGGUACCGGAAUAAGAAGCACCGGCUAACUACGUGCCAGCAGCCGCCGUAACAC